rnacentral:rRNA from 1 species
GAUGAACGCUAUCUACAGGCUUAACACAUGCAAGUCGAGGGGCAGCAUGGUCUUAGCUUGCUAAGGCCGAUGGCGACCGGCGCACGGGUGAGUAACACGUAUCCAACCUGCCGUCUACUCUUGGACAGCCUUCUGAAAGGAAGAUUAAUACAAGAUGGCAUCAUGAGUCCGCAUGUUCACAUGAUUAAAGGUAUUCCGGUAGACGAUGGGGAUGCGUUCCAUUAGAUAAUAGGCGGGGUAACGGCCCACCUAGUCUUCGAUGGAUAGGGGUUCUGAGAGGAAGGUCCCCCACAUUGGAACUGAGACACGGUCCAAACUCCUACGGGAGGCAGCAGUGAGGAAUAUUGGUCAAUGGGCGAGAGCCUGAACCAGCCAAGUAGCGUGAAGGAUGACUGCCCUAUGGGUUGUAAACUUCUUUUAUAAAGGAAUAAAGUCGGGUAUGGAUACCCGUUUGCAUGUACUUUAUGAAUAAGGAUCGGCUAACUCCGUGCCAGCAGCCGCGGUAAUACGGAGGAUCCGAGCGUUAUCCGGAUUUAUUGGGUUUAAAGGGAGCGUAGAUGGAUGUUUAAGUCAGUUGUGAAAGUUUGCGGCUCAACCGUAAAAUUGCAGUUGAUACUGGAUAUCUUGAGUGCAGUUGAGGCAGGCGGAAUUCGUGGUGUAGCGGUGAAAUGCUUAGAUAUCACGAAGAACUCCGAUUGCGAAGGCAGCCUGCUAAGCUGCAACUGACAUUGAGGCUCGAAAGUGUGGGUAUCAAACAGGAUUAGAUACCCUGGUAGUCCACACGGUAAACGAUGAAUACUCGCUGUUUGCGAUAUACUGCAAGCGGCCAAGCGAAAGCGUUAAGUAUUCCACCUGGGGAGUACGCCGGCAACGGUGAAACUCAAAGGAAUUGACGGGGGCCCGCACAAGCGGAGGAACAUGUGGUUUAAUUCGAUGAUACGCGAGGAACCUUACCCGGGCUUAAAUUGCAGAUGAAUUACGGUGAAAGCCGUAAGCCGCAAGGCAUCUGUGAAGGUGCUGCAUGGUUGUCGUCAGCUCGUGCCGUGAGGUGUCGGCUUAAGUGCCAUAACGAGCGCAACCCUUGUUGUCAGUUACUAACAGGUUCCGCUGAGGACUCUGACAAGACUGCCAUCGUAAGAUGUGAGGAAGGUGGGGAUGACGUCAAAUCAGCACGGCCCUUACGUCCGGGGCUACACACGUGUUACAAUGGGGGGUACAGAGGGCCGCUACCACGCGAGUGGAUGCCAAUCCCCAAAACCUCUCUCAGUUCGGACUGGAGUCUGCAACCCGACUCCACGAAGCUGGAUUCGCUAGUAAUCGCGCAUCAGCCACGGCGCGGUGAAUACGUUCCCGGGCCUUGUACACACCGCCCGUCAAGCCAUGGGAGCCGGGGGUACCUGAAGUGCGUAACCGCGAGGAGCGCCCUAGGGUAAAACUGGUGACUGGGGCUAAAU